AUGCAGAUAAGCACUAGGUUGCUAUGGAGACACUAACAAAACCCAGCUUCCGGUCUUGUGUAUUUUCAGCACUAUACACACACACACACGCGCGCGCAUGCACACAGUUACACAGUUACAAAUGAUGUACAUGAGCUGCAUGGAGGUGAAGUUAAUGUUCUGUGAUGUGUGUUAGUGUGUGUUCUGUAAGCAGGGUGUGUGUGUGUGUGUGUGUGUGUGUGUGUGUGUGUGUGUGUGUGUGUUUUACACCAUGCCCAUUUCUUCAGGUGCUGCAGUGAGUCAGAAGCAAGGCUCCUACUUGAAGAGGUACCUCGGUAGUCUUCCUCAGAAGAAGCGGAAGGUUCUGGAGAACUCUUUGGAGGCUGCGUGUGUUCCUGAAGCAGCUGGAGAGGACGUGGAAGAUCUGCUCGAAGAUGUGCAGACGGAGAACCACUCAGACGAGGGUCAGAGUGGAGAAGGAGAUGCAGCUGGUGAAAAAACAGUUUCUAAAAAGUCUUCAGCAUGCACUGUGUUAUAACACAGCCUUGUUCAGUCGUGUUUAAAUGGAGUGUAUGAUUUUAACAUGUUUAAAUGUGGUUAGAGAUAAAGCACUGAAAUCUUCAUCUAAUUCAUCUAACACGUGGCUCAGUUUGGUUAAUGCAAAAAUAACCAUAAUAAUAAUAAUAAUAAUAAUAAUGCAGGGAAGCAGAGAAUGGUUUGAAUCCUCCUGUUAAUACUGAGAUAAUAAAAUUCAAACUGAGCCCUAAAUUCAUUUGAUCCUUUAACUCUUCAUGAGAUUCGCCUUAUCGCCCUGUAAAUUAAACACUGAGUCAAUAACAACACACACACACGCACAUUAACACACACUGAAAUAACUGCUUAUCAAAACUCAAAGUUACAGAAGAUAGAUUUAUUUUGGUUAAAAAUAUUCCAGAAUAUAAAAACAAUCAAAUGUCUUACACACUUACACUAUAUUUACACACAGUUACACACAGUUGCACUAUAUUUAUUACAGCUGCAUGGUAACGCACACGUCCCUGACAACAUGGAUAAAAAAGUGUUUUAAAAUACUACGUGUGUGAGAUUUAGGGCCGGGAGGGAAGGGGACUUCUAUCUUAAUGUUAAACCUACUGUUAUUCUUUGUUAGAGGAGCUCUUUUGUAAUGUGUGUAAGCGCUCCUCUCUGUUUUGAUGAUGAUGAUGAUGAUGAUGAUGAUGAUGAUGAUGAUGAUGAUGGGAUGAAGCAGGAGCAUUGCAGACGUUUUGUCAGUCUGAUUAUCUGAUUGUCUGAUUAUUUGAUUAUAACUGAAUGAAUUCAGUUGCGUUACGGAAGUUGACAGAAGUGAACAAUGUGCUCAUCACCUUGUAUAAUCACAGAGCGAGUCAUGCUUUGUAAACCUGAUGUGUAGUUUUGUUGCUAGUGUUGCACACAUAGUGUUACUGGAUAUAUAACUAAACACCGAAUAAAGUAAACCAAAAUGUGCAAUCUCUCGGGCUGAUUAAAUGGGUUCAGUUUAUAUCCGUAAACGCCCCAGUAACAGGGCUCAAGUACUUCACAAGGCUACGAGUGAACUGCAGUAUGCAGGAACUCACACUAUGAGCUGGUUGUUGUUGUUUUUUCAUUCACAGUGUGCGUUGUUUACAGAACACAAAUACAGCCAGCUCACAGCAGAAAUAACAAAAUCUACCAGUGCAGGUAGAUCAAACCUGAACACACUGCUGAUAUUGCUGUCAAAGUUCUGUCAAGGAUAGCUAUAACAUCGUUCCGCCGGGAUGACCACGUCCGGUUCUGCGUCAAACUUUCUCCAGCGCUCUAUGAUCGUGUUCAGUUCUGGCCUCUUCAAACUCCACCACUGGCCGAUUGUGUCCUGCUCCGAGAUCUCCCUGCUCCUUACAGCCAUGUCCAAUUCUGCCUUCUUCUUCUUCAACAUCUCCAGCUCCGGGAUGUCGUACAGGUUCGUCCAGCUCUGAGAUCUUCUCACUGAGUCAGGUUUACAGUGGAGUGAGCGGUGGGCCACUGUACAGAUCUGUUCGCCGUAUAAAUCACUCGAAUCGAUGGGCUUAUAAAUCACCUCCACUGGAUCCGGUACGGGCAAAUCCAUCACCAGAGCCUCCCCAGGGGUUAACCGAACUGAGGACUUCAACGCUGCAGAGGAAAAACAAAACAAGGAAAUUCAACUGUACUCAUCAUGAGGCGUGUCAUAUCCCUUCUCUGACCUGCAGGACAUCUGAUCACACCGAGCCAGAACAUGGGUUGAAUUAUGGACCAUGGACCAUUUGAUCACACCAGAACAUUUGGAUUUACAUGGGAGUUUAGCAGACUGAUGAAGCUUCACAGUUACAGAGGUCGAGUCCAGUGUAGGUAGGAUGGUACUCACUGCCAACACAGUUCUACACAGGAAACCUGCAGACUACAUGGCUAAAAGUAUGUACACCCGUGUCCAUCACACCCAUAUGUGUGUAUAUAUUAUUCUCCAAACUGUUACCACAAACUCUGAAGCACACAAUUGUGUAGAACGUCUCUGUACGCUGUAGUGUUACGGUUCCCCUUCACCGGAACGGAGUCCCAAACAUGUUCCAGCGAGACACACAGUGCACAAAGCGAGCUCUAUGAACACCUGGUGUGUGAACGUUGGAAGAAGCUAGAAGAACUCGAGUGUCCUGUACAGAACCCUGACCUCAACCCCAUUAACGCUCUUAUAGCUGAAUGAACACAAAUCCCCACGGCCACGCCCCAAAAAUCACACAUACCAGUGGUGAAGGUGAGGGUGAGGAAGAACAGGACGCGGUGAUGAAAGCUACAGGACUGCAUGGUGGAGGACACAAGACACCACCAUCAGUACCGCACAGGUGGAGACAAGUGGAGAAAACCAGGAGAUCUCCACUCUUCCUAUAGAAACGUAAUAAAUGUAAUAAUGAAGAAGAAGAAGAAUAAUAAGAGCGUGAAGCUGUAAUGAUGGAGGAGAGGAGCAGUAUAUAAACCCAAUAAACUCUGCCCUGCCAUACUGUCUACCACAGCACUCUCACACAACACUACAUCAGAAAACACACACACACACACACUUCAGAAAAGGAGUUAAAUGUUACGUAACAUUGUGUGUAUCAUGUAGUAAAACAUUUCAAACAAGUAAAAUCUCCCACAUGCAAUAACCUCAUCAAAUGUACCCAAUGUUUAACGUUAGCUUGUGUGUGGAGACCAUACGUAACCUGUGUAGGAGUAAAACCUCAGAACCUCAUCAUACUGAUGGUGUGUGUGUGUGUGUGUGUGUGUGCUGGACCCAUGCAGAUAUGGCUUUAUAUUAACUAAAAAGACUGGAAAACCAACAGAAACACAAUGUCAAACACAAAGGGCAGGACAGUGGCUGAGUAAAUACAUGUUAUA